rnacentral:rRNA from 1 species
GAGCACGUAGGUGGGUUUGUAAGUCAGAUGUGAAAGCCUUCUGUUCAACGGAAGAAUUGCAUCUGAAACUGCGAGUCUUGAGUGUAGGAGGGGAGAAUGGAACAUCUGGUGGAGCGGUGAAAUGCGUAGAUAUCAGAAGGAACGCCGGCGGCGAAAGCGAUUCUCUGGCCUAUUACUGACACUCAGUGUGCGAAAGCUAGGGGAGCAAACGGGAUUAGAUACCCCGGUAGUCCUAGCCGUAAACGAUGGGCACUAAGUAGAGGGGUUUU